AGAUGUGAGAACCAUAUGGCUGCAACAUCUGUCACUCCACUGAUCACCAAGUUUGAUUCUACUUAUCUGGCUGGCAAAGUGGUGUUGCCUUCCUCUCUCACUAUACCAUGUGCAUCCCUCCGGAGAAGCAGAGCUGCAAAUCUGUGCAUACUCUGUGCUAGGUCAGAGCACCACCUUACUGGAAUGGAGACAGGGUGUCUUAAGUUGAACGUAAUAUGACGAACUGUAUUCCUGCUAGAAUCUCCAAGCAAGCUCUUCAGAAAUUCAGGGAAGACUGUCUAUUAAUCUUAUCUGACAUAUAUUCCUGUUAAAAAUUCACAGUAAACCAAUAAUGGAAUGGAUUUUUUCAAC
rfam:Erinaceus europaeus unplaced genomic scaffold scaffold00169, whole genome shotgun sequence